UAGGGAAUAUUGGACAAUGGGCGCAAGCCUGAUCCAGCAAUGCCGCGUGAGUGAUGAAGGCCUUAGGGUUGUAAAGCUCUUUUACCAGAGAUGAUAAUGACAGUAUCUGGGGAAUAAGCCCCGGCUAACUCCGUGCCAGCAGCCGCGGUAAUACGGAGGGGGCUAGCGUUGUUCGGAAUUACUGGGCGUAAAGCGCACGUAGGCGGCGAUUUAAGUCAGAGGUGAAAGCCCGGGGCUCAACCCCGGAACUGCCUUUGAGACUGGAUUGCUUGAAUCCGGGAGAGGUGAGUGGAAUUCCGAGUGUAGAGGUGAAAUUCGUAGAUAUUCGGAAGAACACCAGUGGCGAAGGC
rnacentral:rRNA from 1 species